rnacentral:rRNA from 1 species
UACAGAGGUCUCAAGCGUUGUUCGGAUUCAUUGGGCGUAAAGGGUGUGUAGGUGGCGCCGUAAGUCGGGUGUGAAAUUUCGGAGCUUAACUCCGAAACUGCAUUCGAUACUGCGGUGCUUGAGGACUGGAGAGGAGACUGGAAUUUACGGUGUAGCGGUGAAAUGCGUAGAUAUCUGGAGGAAUACCGGUGGCGAAGGCGGCAUCCUGGACCAUAACUGACGCUGAGGCGCGAAAGCUAGGGGAGCAACGGG